UGGGGAAUCUUGCGCAAUGGGCGAAAGCCUGACGCAGCGACGCCGCGUGAGGGAAGAAGGCCUUCGGGUUGUAAACCUCUUUCAGCAGGGACGAAGCUACUCGGGUUAAUAGCCCAGAGGGUGACGGUACCUGCAGAAGAAGCCCCGGCUAACUACGUGCCAGCAGCCGCGGUAAUACGUAGGGGGCAAGCGUUGUCCGGAUUUACUGGGCGUAAAGAGCGUGUAGGCGGCCAGGCAGGUCUGUUGUGAAAACUGGAGGCUCAACCUCCAGACGUCGACAGAAACCGCUUGGCUAGAGUCCGGAAGAGGAGAGUGGAAUUCCUGGUGUAGCGGUGAAAUGCGCAGAUAUCAGGAAGAACACCAAUGGCGAAGGCAGCUCUCGUGGGACGGUACUGACGCUGAGACGCGAAAGCGUGGGGAGCGAACAGGAUUAGAUACCCUGGUACGUCCGACGCCGUAAACGA
rnacentral:rRNA from 1 species